ACGAGGGGUCCUAGCGUUGUUCGGAAUCACUGGGCGUAAAGCGUAUGUAGGCGGGCUUUUAAGUCGGGUGUGAAAUCCCACGGCUCAACCGUGGAAUUGCAUUCGAAACUGGAAGUCUUGAGUGUGGGAGAGAUUGGUAGAAUACCUAGUGUAGUGGUGAAAUACGUAGAUAUUAGGUGGAAUACCGGUGGCGAAGGCGGCCAAUUGGCCCAACACUGACGCUGAGAUACGAAAGCGUGGGGAUCAAACAGGA
rnacentral:rRNA from 1 species